rnacentral:lncRNA from 1 species
GGGUCUCAUCCCACACAGUUUCACUCACUCGGACCCCUCUGACCACCUCUUCAAUCUCGAAGCUAUGAGUCUGAUUCUGAGUCACAGGGAUGAAGGCGGAGGCCAUGGAGAUGGUGGUGAUGGUGAUGGUAGCGGUGAUGGUGGCUCUUGGAUGAGCAGAGUAAGGCAGGGCCUCCUGGAAGGAGGGAAGUUGGCCGGUCACUGCUUUCCUCUCCAUCCUCCCCCACCUCUUUAGUAACAGCUACCAUGUAUGGAGUGUCACCCACAAAAGAGACGCAGGUUCAGCGCUUUAUGCAUACUAAUUCAUUGAACCCUAUGAGGCAGGUACUAAUAUCUUCGAGAUGAGACAGCCGAGGCACAGUGAGGUUAAGUAACUUACCCAAGGUCAACAGCCAGCAAAUAGCAGAGCCUAGACUCGGCCACAGCCCCACACUAGCCUUGACUCCUGCCCCCUCCUUCUGCCUCUGGAAAGCAGGGAGGAGAGCUGGUGGGUAAGUUAAGUGUGUGGGUUUGGGUCUGGGGCUUCAGGGAGCUCCACUAUCUCAGGGUUGCCAGCAGGACUAUCUUCCGACUAUCUUUCCGAUCAUCUUCCUGCCUCCACCUUUCGGCACCAACGGGGAGGUGAGGGUUGUGAGUGUGGGGGAUGGGCUAGGUUCCAUCUGGCAGUGGUCGCAGAAUUUCCGGCAGUGGGGGUCUCUGCCUGGCCGGUGGCAGGCAGCUCACCCCAGCUUCUGGCUGGGGCUCCUGCCCUCGGGAGCUCCAGCCUGCCGCCCGCUCCCUCCCAGGAUCUCAUUAUAUCCCUAAGAGAAACUGACAGCCUCAAUAUCUUACUUUGCAAAUAUAGUUUAUUCCUUCAAUAAAGCCGCCUGCGCAGGGGAAUGUUUAAGCCCCGCUCUCCCCCGAGAGCCUCAUUUGAAUUUCUAAAGUCUUUAGUCGGCUCCUCCAAUGGGGCAGCCGGGUAAUGAAAACGCAGCCGCUUACAGGGGAUUCAUUUCCUGUCCCGUCUGGUCUCGCCGGGAUGGAGAAGCUGAAGUGACCCAAAGAAUUACCCCGGGCUACCUGGAUUGGGGCGGGGGGCGGUAUCAAGGAGGCCUUGGCAGGGGCCUGAGCAUCCAGGGACCCCUCCCCAGGGUGUCUAUGCCCAGGGACCCCUAGACAGCAUCUCUUAGGCCAGGGUGCUUGCUCUCCCAAGAGGCCCAGCCCACCCGUCCCUGGGGGUGAGGCCUGUUCCCUGGCCGGACCCCUCUCUCUAGGGCAGCCCCUCCUCCUGGCCCCCAUGGGAGUCUCUAAUUAAAGGACCGGCACGCCCCUCGGGGACUCAUUAGGCCCGCUGUGCAGAGAACAUUUAAUCAUUGCUCAGAGCAUCGAUUGGAAAAUCAAUUUCUUUGUCUCUCCGCACGCGGCGCUGGAGAAGCAGGGGGAGCGCUGACCUCCUUCUGCUGCCAUGUAAAGUGCUGCACAUUUAAUCAGGGAACAGAAAUCAAUUAGCCACUUACGAGGUUGGCUUUAGUUACCGAGUCGUCGGGGCCCGUGACACUGCUCAGAGGCUGACAGGGGCGAGUCUCCUUGCACCCCACCUGGCCGGCCCAGGCGGCUUCCCACCCCUUCUCCCGGAUCCCCUCCGCCCGCUGGACACCUGUUGUCCUGACCGACCCCCAAGAACCUCAAAGAAGUCCUGGGAAAGCUCCUGGAACCCCAAAUUCAUAGUCACAGUCUCCCAGGCUGACCCCUUCCCACUCCCCCCAGCCCUGCCCUCAGCUCUAAGGCCCUGAGAAGCUGCCCGGGGACUCAGAGGAGGCCCAUGCACCUCUCAGCUUUGCUUCCAGCGGCUUCUGUGUCACGGUGAAGUUUCUGGACCCCGCGGAGUCUCAGUUACCCGCAGAGCGGAGAGCGCCUUACUCUCAAAGUGGGAAUGAGAACUGAACCUACCGCACCAGAGUGAAUGAAAACCCAACGAGAGGGUCUGCAGCACCUCCCAGAGCCGAAGCUCAGAGAGCUUUACACUCAAGCCCCCCCAGAGUGUCCCUCCGCCCGCAGUGUCCCUCCGCCAGGUCAGAGAAGGGACUGUGUGGGUGUGAGCCGCGGGGUCCACCAGGCCUCCACUUCCCUUCAGGUGGGCCCAGGGCGCCUCUCACCCAGCUGUUUCCCCAGCACCUUCGGGGGGCUUGACUCUGAGUCACCCCCGUACCCAUUCUCUCCCUCCUAUCGGUGCACCCGCCCAGCCUCACCUGUGAUGACGGACCCCCCCUCCCCGAACCCACCCCGCACAGCUCUGGGGGUACAAGCUUUCCAGCAACGUCUCACGCACCCAGUUAUACACACCCAAUUACACAGAGUUGUACACAGUCUGCACGCCCCAUUACACACAGUUUCGCAGAGUUUCUCCCUCGGUUACAGUCACAGGGUCCUCUCCCGUGGUGGCACACGCGGUCUCCUGCAGCCACUCUGCCGCCUUCUCCCCCCCACCCCCGCUGCUCACACACACGGUGUCAGACCUGUGGGCCCCCUACCCCGCAGAGAUGCACACCGGCACACGUGCACACACACACGCACACACACCCGUCCCGUAAUAAUAUUAGACAUGCCAUUUCUUUUGCGUGACAGUUCCAGUGGAGAUGCUCAGAGCUGUCACUUGGAUGAAAAAUAAUGCAUAAUCCUCGUCUUCCUUCCUUCCCUUCCCUUUCUUUCUUCCCUGUUUAAUGAGCUCCUAAAAAUAUUCCCUGCUGUCUCGCCGCGGAGGCUGUGGGCUUAGUGUGAGUCAGGCCUCCCUACCCCCUUCCCAUCCCCCUGGCCCCUCCCUCGGCCCCCUGAGUGGGCUUCAGGAUGAAGGGGCAAGGCCAGUCUCAGAGCCUGGCCAAGCCAAAGUCAGGUGGCAGGCCUCCGCAGGCUCCGACUCCCGCUCCUCCAGCUCCUGGCUUAGCCCACCUGAGCUGGGGAGAGAGCAGCAGGUGAGACCUAAGUGGGAGCAGGAAGAAAGGCAGAAGCCACCCUCUGGUACCUGACCAUCCGUGGCAACCCCCUCCCCAGCUCCUGACCAAUUUCACAGGAAAUUAGUCCCCCAUCCUCACGCCCCGGAGGCCUGCAUGUAUUGAGGCCCCCCUUGUCCCCCUCCCGGCACACCUGCUUCACUCUCUUUCCCAGAACUCAGAGGAGAAAGGAGGGAGGGCCUCCCUGAACUGCCAGCUUCUACCCACAGCUGAGCCGGCCCUGCUGGGGAAAUUGCAAUUGUCACAGCUUCCUGCAGUUCAUCCUUCAAGCCCCAGACCAAAGUCACCUCCUCCUAGAAGCCUCCCUGACUCACAGAAUGUAGUAUUUACUCCCUGUACACACCGACACACUUACUAGAUUACACGUACUGGGAAGAGGCCGUCGCAUUUGGUGCCUGGUGGGAACUUUGUCCUGUGGGAUUCUCUCCACUGUGUUUUGCUUCCUUACUUCCAUGGGUCACUCUCACUGUAUCUGAGCCCCUUCAGGCUGGGAAGUGGGCUUGUCCACUUGGAUGGAUGGAUGGACGGGUGGAUGGACAGAUGGGAGGGAAGAGUUCAGGGUCAUGAGUCAGGGGCCUGAAUGCUCACCUGGUUUCUCUGAACAUUGACCGUGACUUUGGGAAAGGCAGAAGCCCUCUCUGAGCUUCAGUUUCCCUAUCUGUAAAAUGGGAGAGCAGGGCUAAGCCGUGUUUGAGGUCUCUUGCCACCCUGGCAAUCCUCAUUCCAGGAUUCUCCAUUGUGUCAGAUGGAAUAACCCUGUCUACAGCCUCUGAGGUGCCGUCCUGUUGGGUGUGAUGGCUGGGGACAGUGGUGAACAUGCCAGAAGCCCCACUCCCCACCCCAACCCUGGCACAGCUCUCUGGGCUAUUUCCCAGCCUUCCCUCUGCCUCCCACCUCUUCACACUGAUUUCUUUGCUCCAAUUUCCUUAAUUCUACUGCCACAUCUUCCUUUCGUCCUCUGUCCCUUUUCUGGCUUUUUCUGGGCCUGCAUCCUACCCAUUAGGUGCUCAGAGAAAAUGCCCCCCCACCUCCCCUCCCUCCCCUCCCCCAGCCCCACCUGCUUCAGGAGCCCCCACCCUGUGGGCCUCCCCAUCUCCUCCCAGCAGCGCCAGUCCCGAAAGGUUAAGCUAAUAGCAGCUCCUCUCCCAUCAGCUGCUCUUGUUUGCUCUACAUAAUUGCGGGAGAAGGGGGCCGGGAGGGGAACCUGGGCCCUUUGAGUGGUAGCUGCUAUAGAGGAGGGGGCUGUGCAGCCCUGUGCCUGGGAAGAGAGGGCCGCAGUCAGGUGACACUCACAGAAACCGGAUGGUGGGCUGUGUGGGGUCUGGACAUAUGGGGCAAGGAUUGGGCAGAAGGCGCAGCUGUAGCAGAGCUGCCUGGAGCAGGGGGAAUGGGGUCCAGAGAAGAGCAUCAGAGACCUCACUCCUCCUGGGAGGGAAAUAAUAACAGCAAGAGCCGGAAGCAACAUCUAUCAAGCACGCACCGUGCGCCAGGCCCCGUACCUGGCGCUUUACUGGCUUUAUCUCCCUGAUCUUCAUAACAACCCCCGAAGCAGUUCAGCGCUUGUGUCCAUUUUAUUUUUCUUGUGCCCAUUUUACGGGAAACUGAGGCUCCAAGAGGUUAAAUCGUUGCCUGAGGUCACAGGUUGCUUAAUGGCAGAGCCUCAAACAGCGAUUACUCUUUAUCAGUUCUGCCCAGAGAGGGUCGGCGCUGACAGGGACCCAGGAGGCCAUGGGGUCCCACCCAUCUGUUGUCCAGGGGGACAGAGGGAAAGGGGCUUGUCUCAAGUCGCAGAGCAAGUUGUUGCCAUAGCUGGGCUGAGGAUUCAGGUCUGAUGCACAGGGUGGUCUCCCUGCCUGAGCCAGUGCCCCUGGAGACUUCCUGUGGCUGGGCCGUGUUGGGGGGCGGGGGGUUCAGGUGCGGGGUGAUGAGGUCCACCCACAGGCCUCCCUGGGAAUGGGGUGUGGAAUCAAAGAGGACCAGGUGUGAGCACCUGUGCUCGGGGCAAGAGGCCCACCUGGACAGAGCCACCUCUCUGCCAGGCAGCGGCAGCCCUGGCCUCCUGCUGGUUCGAGCAUCUUCAAUAAUUCAUCAGGGACAGAGCAGUGAGCAGAAGAAGGGUAGGGAGUGUCACAGCCAGUGGCUCUGAAUUUAGGCCAGCGUUGGAAAUUUGGAGACAGGAAGUCAGCACACCUGGGUCCUCAGCCUGAAACCUUUCCUGGGCAGACUCAGGGCCACGCUGCCUUCCACCUGCCUGCUUCCUGUCUCAGGCCUGGGACACCACAUGUCUGCUCCAAUCAGGACAACCUACUGCAUGCUUUCCUCCCGAGGGAUGGAAACUCUUGGGGAAGGCGCUGUCUCCCCGUUUAGACUUGGGGGUCUCCAAAGAAGGGCCUAUAUCUCAUCCGAUGGGGUCUCAGCACAGGGCUUAAGUCUCCUGCCUCAGACUAACCUUCACCCAAGGCAGAGAUCCUGCCUCCCCCAUCAGAUUCCUCCUGUCCAGCCUCUGCCUUUGUGAUCUGAUGGUCACAGCAGCUCCAGCAUUAGCUCCAUUCUGACCCGCCCUUGGCCCCAUGUCAUGGCAGACUUAUCCUGUCCUUUCCUGGCUUCUGCCUGAGUUCCUGCCAGACUUUCCUUGCAGUGACCUCUACCAGUGGAUGCAGCUCUCCCAACUCGUCGUUCUUUCCUCAGCCUGGCUCCUUAGUAAUGAUCAGCACAGCAGCUUCUAAAAAAAGAGUUCCCUUCGUGGUUCAGUGGUUAACAAACCCAACUAGGAUCCAUGAGGUUGUGGGUUCGAUCCCUGAACGCGCUCAGUGGGUUAAGGAUCUGGUGUUGCUGUGAGCUGUGGUGUAGGUCGCAGAUGUGGCUUGGAUCUGGCAUUCCUGUGGCUGUGGCCUAGACCGGCAGCUGCAGCUCUGAUUUGACCCCUAGCCUGGGAUCCUCCAUAUGCUACAGGUACAGUCCUAAAAAAGACAAAAACAAAAAACAAAAAAAAAAAACAAAAAAAA